GAACGCUGGCGGCGUGCUUAACACAUGCAAGUCGAACGGAAAGACCCUGCUUUUGUGGGGUGCUCGAGUGGCGAACGGGUGAGUAACACGUGAGUAACCUGCCCUUGACUUUGGGAUAACUUCAGGAAACUGGGGCUAAUACCGGAUAGGAGCUCCUGCUGCAUGGUGGGGGUUGGAAAGUUUCGGCGGUUGGGGAUGGACUCGCGGCUUAUCAGCUUGUUGGUGGGGUAGUGGCUUACCAAGGCUUUGACGGGUAGCCGGCCUGAGAGGGUGACCGGCCACAUUGGGACUGAGAUACGGCCCAGACUCCUACGGGAGGCAGCAGUGGGGAAUAUUGCACAAUGGGCGGAAGCCUGAUGCAGCAACGCCGCGUGCGGGAUGACGGCCUUCGGGUUGUAAACCGCUUUCGCCUGUGACGAAGCGUGAGUGACGGUAAUGGGUAAAGAAGCACCGGCUAACUACGUG
rnacentral:rRNA from 1 species